rnacentral:rRNA from 1 species
GACGAACGCUGGCGGCGUGCCUAAUACAUGCAAGUCGAACGCAGUGGGGACGGGUGAGUAACACGUGGGUAACCUCCCAUCAGAGGGGAUAACACUUGGAAACAGGUGCUAAACCGAUACUGAUGGAUGGACACGCGGUGCAUUAGCGAGGUGGGCAGGUAACGGCUCACCAAGGCCACGAUGCAUAGACGACCGGGACGGGGGAUCGGCCACACAGGGACUGAGACACGGCCCAGACUCCGACGGUAGGCAGCAGUAGGGAAUCUGCGGCAAUGGACGAAAGUCUGACCGAGCAACGCCGCGUGAGUGAAGAAGGUUUUCGGAUCGUAAAACUCUGUUGUUAGAGAAUCGGUAUCUAACCAGAAAGCCACGGCUAACUACGUGCCAGCCGCCUCGGUAAUUC